AGGUCCACUCAGCCCGGACCUCCAGCUGCAAGACUAAACUAACCGAGGGGGAGCUUCAGCACCGGGAGAGGGAGGGGCUUGCGGUCCUCCAAUGGCAGCUCGACUGUCCUUCCAUCUCAGCCAAUCAACGCCAGGAGACGGUCAAAUUUAAACCCCCUCCCAUCUCCUCCGCCGGGACCUGUCCCGAAAGCGUUUGUAGAAAGUCCGGCCGCUGGCCCCGCCCCCGGAGGGGAGGCGGGGAGAAGGGCGGGCUCUCUCAGCCACUUCGCCUAUCACGACCGGCAGCCUUUGGAGAGACGGGGGGAGGCGCCAAUCAGGGCGAGCAACUGCAGCUCACCGGAGCAGUUGGCUACAGUUGUUGCAACUUUUUUCGAAAGCUCGGUUUCCCGGGAGAUCCAGGCGGUGACAGAGCCGGGCCAUGGCUAGAGAGCCAUGAUUCCCAUCAUGAUUUGACAACAGUCUGCAAAAUAUGCUCUAUAUGUAAAGACAGUUUUCAAAUGGCUUUACUGGGUGUCAGAAUGUCACUUUGGAAUCCUCUUUCUUCCUCAUCCCGGGUAUUCAAAUACAAUAGACUCUGCAGAGGACAUGUGAAGAAUGCUAUCCCACUGGGGUUAAUGGUCAGGGUGGAAUCCUGUCUUGAUGGAUGUUAAAACUUGAGCUAGUUUGGGAGGCAUUGCCCUGAGUGCCAUCCUGUCACUUAAUCCUACUCAGGCAUAUCCCUUCUGAAGGGAGGCAAGGCAGAGAGGUGGCUAUAGCUUUUUUUUUUUUUUUU